GGUUCCGUGGCCCAAUGGUAGGGCGCUAGAUUUCGGUUAGCUAGUUCACAGCUUCUCAAUUCUCUAGAGAUUGUCGGUUCGAGUCCGGCCGGGAUCG